rnacentral:snRNA from 1 species
GGAUGUGAGGGCGAUCUGGAUGCGACGUCUGUCACCCCAUUGAUCGCCAGGGUUGAUUUGGUUGAUUUGGCUGGCUAGGCGUGUGUCCCCUUCCUCCCUCCGCUCCACGUGCGUCCUUCCCAAAGCUGCGCGCUGCUCGGUCCAAGAGGACAACCACCCGGAUAAAAGAGGACCGUUCUUCAGUCAAGAGUACACAAGUCGCUGCACUCCCCUGCUAGCACCUCCAAACAAGCUCUCAAACCCUAGUACGGCCAAAAAUAUUUAAAUUCUCUAAAGUUUAAAUAUAACACCUAGGGCUAUCCUAGUUUUGUUUUGUUU